rnacentral:siRNA from 1 species
GACGAUGGGCUAUGCUCG